rnacentral:rRNA from 1 species
GGAUGAACGCUGGCGGCGUGCUUAACACAUGCAAGUCGAACGGUGAACACGGAGCUUGCUCUGUGGGAUCAGUGGCGAACGGGUGAGUAACACGUGAGCAACCUGCCCCUGACUCUGGGAUAAGCGCUGGAAACGGCGUCUAAUACUGGAUAUGUGACGUGACCGCAUGGUCUGCGUUUGGAAAGAUUUUUCGGUUGGGGAUGGGCUCGCGGCCUAUCAGCUUGUUGGUGAGGUAAUGGCUCACCAAGGCGUCGACGGGUAGCCGGCCUGAGAGGGUGACCGGCCACACUGGGACUGAGACACGGCCCAGACUCCUACGGGAGGCAGCAGUGGGGAAUAUUGCACAAUGGGCGCAAGCCUGAUGCAGCAACGCCGCGUGAGGGAUGACGGCCUUCGGGUUGUAAACCUCUUUUAGCAGGGAAGAAGCGAAAGUGACGGUACCUGCAGAAAAAGCGCCGGCUAACUACGUG